rnacentral:rRNA from 1 species
GACAGAGGGUGCAAACGUUGCUCGGAAUUACUGGGCGUAAAGCGCGUGUAGGCGGACCACCAAGUCGGACGUGAAAGCCCUGAGCUCAACUCAGGAACUGCAUCCGAAACUGGCGGUCUGGAGUAGUGGAGAGGAAAGCAGAAUUCCUGGUGUAGAGGUGAAAUUCGUAGAUAUCAGGAGGAACACCGGUGGCGAAGGCGGCUUUCUGGACGGUAACUGACGCUGAGACGCGAAAGCGUGGGAAGCAAACAGG